rnacentral:rRNA from 1 species
UGGGGAAUAUUGGACAAUGGGCGAAAGCCUGAUCCAGCCAUGCCGCGUGUGUGAAGAAGGUCUUCGGAUUGUAAAGCACUUUAAGUUGGGAGGAAGGGCAGUAAGCGAAUACCUUGCUGUUUUGACGUUACCGACAGAAUAAGCACCGGCUAACUCUGUGCCAGCAGCCGCGGUAAUACAGAGGGUGCAAGCGUUAAUCGGAAUUACUGGGCGUAAAGCGUGCGUAGGUGGUUCGUUAAGUUGAAUGUGAAAGCCCCGGGCUCAACCUGGGAAGUGCAAGAAAAACUGGCGGGCUAGAGUAGGGCAGAGGGUGGUGGAAUUUCCUGUGUAGCAGUGAAAUGCGUAGAUAUAGGAAGGAACACCGGUGGCGAAGGCGACCACCUGGGCUCAUACUGACACUGAGGUGCGAAAGCGUGGGGAGCAAACAGG